rnacentral:misc_RNA from 1 species
GAUGAAGAACGCAGCGAAAUGCGAUACGUAAUGUGAAUUGCAGAAUUCAGUGAAUCAUCGAAUCUUUGAACGCAUAUUGCGCUCUCUGGUAUUCCGGAGAGCAUGCUUGUUUGAGUAUCAGUAAACACCUCAACUCCCUUUUCUUUUUUGAAAUGGGAGCUGGACUUGAGUGAUCCCAACACUUUUCUCACUGGAAAGUGGCGGGUCACUUGAAAUGCAGGUGCAGCUGGACUUUUCUCUGAGCUAUAAGCAUAUCUAUUUAGUCUGCCUAAAAAACAGAUUAUUACCUUUGCUGCAGCUAACAUAAAGGAGACUAGUUCUUGUGCUGACUGAUGCAGGAUUCACAGAGACAGCUUCGGCUGACUUUGUAAACUCGAUCUCAAAUCAAGUAAGACUACCCGCUGAACUUAAGCAUAUCAAUAAGCGGAGGA